rnacentral:rRNA from 1 species
CCUACGGGGCGCAGCAGUGGGGAAUAUUGGGCAAUGGGCGCAAGCCUGACCCAGCAACGCCGCGUGAAGGAAGAAGGCUUUCGUGUCGUAAACUUCUCUUCUCAGGGACGAAGAAAGUGACGGUACCUGAGGAAUAAGCCACGGCUAACUACGUGCCAGCAGCCGCGGUAAUACGUAGGUGGCAAGCGUUAUCCGGUUUUACUGGGUGUAAAGGGCGUGUAGGCGGGACUGCAAGUCAGAUGUGAAAACCAUGGGCUCAACCUGUGGCCUGCAUUUGAAACUGCAGUUCUUGAGUACUGGAGAGG